rnacentral:rRNA from 1 species
CCUACGGGAGGCAGCAGUGGGGAAUAUUGGACAAUGGGGGCAACCCUGAUCCAGCCAUGCCGCGUGUGUGAAGAAGGCCCUCGGGUUGUAAAGCACUUUCAGUGAGGAAGAACGCCUGGUGGUUAAUACCCAUCAGGAAAGACAUCACUCACAGAAGAAGCACCGGCUAACUCCGUGCCAGCAGCCGCGGUAAUACGGAGGGUGCGAGCGUUAAUCGGAAUUACUGGGCGUAAAGCGCGCGUAGGUGGCUUGAUAAGCCGGUUGUGAAAGCCCCGGGCUCAACCUGGGAACGGCAUCCGGAACUGUCAAGCUAGAGUGCAGGAGAGGAAGGUAGAAUUCCCGGUGUAGCGGUGAAAUGCGUAGAGAUCGGUAGGAAUACCAGUGGCGAAGGCGGCCUUCUGGACUGACACUGACACUGAGGUGCGAAAGCGUGGGUAGCAAACAGGAUUAGAUACCCGGGUAGUC